rnacentral:rRNA from 1 species
UACGUAGGGUGCAAGCGUUAUCCGGAAUUACUGGGCGUAAAGGGCGCGUAGGCGGAUCGUUAAGUCAGAGGUGAAAGCCCAGGGCUCAACCCUGGAAUUGCCUUUGAUACUGGCGAUCUUGAGUACGGGAGAGGUGUGUGGAACUCCGAGUGUAGAGGUGAAAUUCGUAGAUAUUCGGAAGAACACCAGUGGCGAAGGCGACACACUGGCCCGUUACUGACGCUGAGGCGCGAAAGCGUGGGGAGCAAACAGG